AUUGAACGCUGGCGGCAGGCCUAACACAUGCAAGUCGAGCGGAUGAGGGAAGCUUGCUUCCCGAUUUAGCGGCGGACGGGUGAGUAAUGCCUAGGAAUCUGCCUAUUAGUGGGGGAUAACGUUCCGAAAGGAACGCUAAUACCGCAUACGCCCUACGGGAGAAAGUGGGGGAUCUUCGGACAUCACGCUAAUAGAUGAGCCUAGGUCGGAUUAGCUAGUUGGUGAGGUAACGGCUCACCAAGGCGACGAUCCGUAGCUGGUCUGAGAGGAUGAUCAGCCAAACUGGAACGAGGACACGGUCCAGACUCCUACGGGAGGCAGCAGUGCGGAAUAUUGGACAAUGGGCGAAAGCCUGAUCCAGCAAUGCGGCGUGUGUGAAGAAGGUCUUCUGAUUGUAAAGCACUUUAAGUUGGGAGGAAGGGUUGUAAGCUAAUAUCUUGCAGCUUUGACGUUACCAACAGAAUAAGCACCGGCUAACUCUGUGCCAGCCGCCGCGGUAAGAC
rnacentral:rRNA from 1 species